AGCAGUGUGGCGCAGUGGUAAGGAGCAGGGCUCAUAACCGGAAGGUUGCUGGUUCAGUUCCCCCCACUGGUG